rnacentral:lncRNA from 1 species
GUUGAACUCUGGCUCACUUACUUCAGCUCCCAUUCGCUAUUUUUCACCUACUUCCUGGAGAGCGGAUGUUCUCCUUGCAACUCCACCAGCCCAAGGAAUCGCAGAAGACUAUCCCUUGAAGGGUGAUUCUAUAGUAUGAAGCUGGUACUGCUUCUUUCAGGAGCUCCCACAAAGACGUGGGAUUAGAGAUUGCUACAGAACAGUUUCCUAUGGGCCCAGAGCCCACUUGCCUCA